rnacentral:rRNA from 1 species
UACAGAGGGUGCAAGCGUUGUUCGGAAUUAUUGGGCGUAAAGCGCGUGUAGGCGGCUUUGCAAGUCGGGUGUGAAAGCCCUCAGCUUAACUGAGGAAGUGCGCCCGAAACUGCAGAGCUUGAAUACCGGAGAGGAUGGCGGAAUUCCCCCAAGUAGAGGUGAAAAUUCGUAGAUAUGGGGAGGAACACCGGUGGCGAAGGCGGCCAUCUGGACGGCUAUUGACGCUGAGACGCGAAAGCGUGGGGGAGCAAACAGG